rnacentral:rRNA from 1 species
AGCAGCCGCGGUAAUUCCAGCUCCAAUAGCGUAUAUUAAAGUUGUUGCAGUUAAAAAGCUCGUAGUUGAACUUCGGGGUCUACCCAUCGGUCAGGCUUAAUUGUCUGUACUGGUGAGAUGGAUCUCUACCUUUUGAGGAACUUUCAUGCCAUUUAUUUGGUGUGAUUGAAAAUCAGGACUGUUACUUUGAAAAAAUUAGAGUGUUUAAAGCAGACUAUCGUCUGAAUACAUUAGCAUGGAAUAAUGAAAUAGGACGGACUGAUUCUAUUUCGUUGGUUUCUAGGAUCACCGUAAUGAUUAAUAGGGAUAGUUGGGGGCAUUAGUAUUCAAUUGUCAGAGGUGAAAUUCUUGGAUUUAUUGAAGACUAACUACUGCGAAAGCAUUUGCCAAGGAUGUUUUCAUUAAUCAAGAACGAAAGUUAGGGGAUCGAAGACGAUCAGAUACCGUCGUAGUCUUAACCAUAAACUAUGCCGACUAGGGAUCGGACGAAGUUAAUUUUAUAAUGACGCGUUCGG